AGCGAACGCUGGCGGCAGGCCUAACACAUGCAAGUCGAACGAACUCUUCGGAGUUAGUGGCGGACGGGUGAGUAACACGUGGGAACGUGCCUUUAGGUUCGGAAUAACUCAGGGAAACUUGUGCUAAUACCGAAUGUGCCCUUCGGGGGAAAGAUUUAUCGCCUUUAGAUCGGCCCGCGUCUGAUUAGCUAGUUGGUUAGGUAACGGCUCACCAAGGCGACGAUCAGUAGCUGGUCUGAGAGGAUGGCCAGCCACACUGGGACUGAGACCCGGCCCAGACUCCUGCGGGAGGCAGCAGUGGGGAAGCUUGCGCAAUGGGCGAAAGCCUGACGCAGCCAUGCCGCGUGAAUGAUGAAGGUCUUAGGAUUGUAAAAUUCUUUCACCGGGGACGAUAAUGACGGUACCCGGAGAAGAAGCCCCGGCUAACUUCGUGCCAGCCGCCGCAGUAA
rnacentral:rRNA from 1 species